AUUGAACGCUGGCGGCAUGCUUUACACAUGCAAGUCGAACGGCAGCACGGGUGCUUGCACCUGGUGGCGAGUGGCGGACGGGUGAGUAAUACAUCGGAACGUAUCCUGAAGUGGGGGAUAACGCAUCGAAAGACGUGCUAAUACCGCAUAUACUCUGAGGAGGAAAGUAGGGGAUCGAAAGACCUUAUGCUUUUGGAGCGGCCGAUGUCUGAUUAGCUAGUUGGUAAGGUAAUGGCUUACCAAGGCAACGAUCAGUAGUUGGUCUGAGAGGACGACCAGCCACACUGGGACUGAGACACGGCCCAGACUCCUACGGGAGGCAGCAGUGGGGAAUUUUGGACAAUGGGCGCAAGCCUGAUCCAGCAAUGCCGCGUGAGUGAAGAAGGCCUUC
rnacentral:rRNA from 1 species